GAUGAACGCUAGCGGCAGGCCUAACACAUGCAAGUCGAGGGGCAUCGCGGUGCAGCAAUGCACUGGCGGCGACCGGCGUACGGGUGCGUAACGCGUAUGCAACCUGCCCCGCACCGGGGGAUAGCCCGCCGAAAGGCGGAUUAAUACCCCAUGGCCCCGGGGGCCCGCAUGGGCAUCCGGGUAAAGCUUUGGCGGUGCGGGAUGGGCAUGCGUGCCAUUAGCUGGCUGGUGGGGUAACGGCCCACCAGGGCAACGAUGGCUAGGGGGUCUGAGAGGAUGGUCCCCCACACUGGUACUGAGACACGGACCAGACUCCUACGGGAGGCAGCAGUGAGGAAUAUUGGUCAAUGGGCGGAAGCCUGAACCAGCCAUGCCGCGUGCGGGAUGAAGGCCCUACGGGUUGUAAACCGCUUUUCCCCGGGAAGAAUAACCCCGAUGAGUCGGGGGAUGCCGGUACCGGGGGAAUAAGGAUCGGCUAACUCCGUG
rnacentral:rRNA from 1 species